AUUGAACGCUGGCGGCAGGCCUAACACAUGCAAGUCGAGCGGAGCGGCGGACGGGUGAGUAAUGCCUAGGAAUCUGCCUGGUAGUGGUGGAUAACGUUCGGAAACGGGCGCUAAUACCGCAUACUAUCAGAUUAGCCUAGGUCGGAUUAGCUAGUUGGGGGGGUAAAGGCCUACAAAGGCGACGAUCCGUAACUGGUCUGAGAGGAUGAUCAGUCACACUGGAACUGAGACACGGUCCAGACGCCUACGGGAGGCAGCAGUGGGGAAUAUGGGGAAAUGGGGGAAAGCCUGAUCCAGCCAUGCCGCGUGUGUGAAGAAGGUCUUCGGGUUGUAAAGCACUUUAGGUAGGGAGGCGUUACCAACAGAAUAAGCAACGGCUAACUUCGUGCCAGCAGCCGCGGUAAUAC
rnacentral:rRNA from 1 species